UAGUGUUACACCUACUCAAUUCUAUUGAGUAUAUAUACCAUUAUAUACACCAUGAAUAUUUAAUACACGUGCCGACUGUGAACAAGGGUGAUGUGCCUUUUUUCGUUAACCUUGAUAUUCUGAUUCGUUGGCCAACAAGGUUUCUGGACGACAAUAAUAAUAGAGAAAAACUUUCUGUGAAAUAAUUGUAUAUAAUAUAAUAAAAAUAAAAGAAUAUUUCAUUUUUUGCGGAAAGGAGCUAACGGGAGGAAAAUAAAGAUAAUGUAAAAAUAUUCAAGAGAUCAGAGCAAUCAGUCGAUAAUGACAUCCAGCUGUUUCAUUUCACCGCAAUUAUGAAAUAUAGAUGUUUCGCUUGAAUUCGUUCGAAAAAGGAUUAAUUGAAGAGCACCAUUCUUCAAGUGGUUCGCAAAGUAACUCGAUAUCGGGCCGAAUUUAUUUUCAUUCGGCUAUUUCGUUUCGAUUCGUUCGAUAUAUUCCCGAAGAAGGCUAGCCACCAAUGGCACGAGAGUAGUAUAUCGCUUCGAUAUAAAGCUCGACCAUUCGAUGUAUUUAACCGCGCAGACGUACUUGAACAUAGUAACAUAUAUAUCGGCAAUUCUUUUACCUCCUCUCGCCGUUUCGCUUUAUGUAUCCCGCGAAAGUGCACAAGCCGCUUUACUACUCGAAAAGAAGUUCCUGCCAGGGGAAGCAAGCAACGAUAGAGCAGCAUGGUGGAAUCAGCCCUGUGUAACCGCCACGGGCUCAAUAUCUAAACAGGAAAUUUCCGUGCACGCCAGAAAACAUAGCUAGAAAUGUACGCGAAUCCGGCGAAUGUAAAAUACAUAGUAAAUGUACCGCAAAGAUGGACUGAGGAAACUGCAUAUUUAAAUGCGGAUAAAAAGAUCCUAAUUCUCAGAAGAAGGGAUGUCUUCGCUCAGAUAAUAUAAAUAAUCCUUCCGUGAAAUUUGAUGUAAUACAAGUGUUUUAUCAUUCUGAGUGCAUUUUAUUAAAUUAUGUAAUCUUCUUUCGCGUCUUUUAAUUUUUGAAGCAAAUAUAGAAAAAUAAAUUUUCUAUAACUUUUAAGCUAUUGUAUAAAUUGUACAUUCUAAAGAUCAAAUAAUUUCACUUAAUUUUCUGACAUUAUUUAAUUCUAAUCUAACUUUUUCUCAAAUUCUUGAACUUUUCAUGUGAUAUUUAAAUAAUUCCAAACUAUUAGUUUAUAGUGUAUUGUAAAUUUUUAAUAUAGAAUGUCCCAAAAAUGUAGGAAAUUGGAGAUUCCUGAGAUAAUUUCAAGCAACAUUUUCAUUUGGAAAAUCUUUUGAAACAGCUUUGUUAACGUGAUAUUAAAAUUAAUAUAUUUAUUACAAAAAAUACUAGUUAAUCACGAGUUCUAAAUCACUCAAGCCAUGAUGGUAGUGAUGAAAUAUGUGCCGUCGGCCGAACACGAAUAAGUCCAAGCAAUAGUUGUCGAAAAAAGUCUGUUGAAUAAUAAAUAUUUUGUUAU